rnacentral:rRNA from 1 species
UACGUAGGGUGCAAGCGUUGUCCGGAAUUAUUGGGCGUAAAGGGCUCGUAGGCGGUCCAUCGCGUCGGGAGUGAAAAGCUGGGGCUUAACCCCAGUCCUGCUUCCGAUACGGGUGGACUAGAGGUAGGUAGGGGAGAACGGAAUUCCAGGUGUAGCGGUGAAAUGCGCAGAUAUCAGGAGGAACACCGGUGGCGAAGGCGGUUCUCUGGGCCUUACCUGACGCUGAGGAGCGAAAGCAUGGGGAGCAAACAGG